GAUUCCUACGGGGCGCAGCAGUGAGGAAUAUUGGUCAAUGGGCGGAAGCCUGAACCAGCCAAGUCGCGUGAGGGAUUAAGGCCCUAUGGGUCGUAAACCUCUUUUGUCAGGGAGCAAUGGCGUCCACGUGUGGGCGUACGGAGAGUACCUGAAGAAAAAGCAUCGGCUAACUCCGUGCCAGCAGCCGCGGUAAUACGGAGGAUACGAGCGUUAUCCGGAUUUAUUGGGUUUAAAGGGUGCGUAGGCGGGACCUUAAGUCAGCGGUAAAAUUGCGGGGCUCAAUGCCGUA
rnacentral:rRNA from 1 species